rnacentral:rRNA from 1 species
AUUGAACGCUGGCGGCAGGCCUAACACAUGCAAGUCGAACGAGUGGCGGACGGGUGAGUAAUGUCUGGGAAACUGCCUGAUGGAGGGGGAUAACUACUGGAAACGGUAGCUAAUACCGCAUACCAUCAGAUGUGCCCAGAUGGGCUUAGCUAGUGGGGGGGGUAACGGCUCACCAAGGCGACGAUCCCUAGCUGGUCUGAGAGGAUGACCAGCCACACGGGAACGUAGACACGGUCCAGACUCCUACGGAAGGCAGCAGUGGGGAAUAUUGGCCAAUGGGCGCAGGCCUGAUGCAGCCAGGCCGCGUGUAUGAAGAAGGCCUUCGGUUUGUAAAGUACUUUCAGCGGGGAGGCGUUACCCGCAGAAGAAGCACCGGCUAACUCCGUGCCAGCAGCCGCGGUAAUUC